GACGGAGGAUGCAAGUGUUAUCCGGAAUCACUGGGCGUAAAGCGUCUGUAGGUGGUUCAAUAAGUCAACUGUUAAAUCUUGAGGCUCAACCUCAAAAUCGCAGUCGAAACUAUUCGACUAGAGUAUAGUAGGGGUAAAGGGAAUUUCCAGUGGAGCGGUGAAAUGCGUAGAGAUUGGAAAGAACACCGAUGGCGAAGGCACUUUACUGGGCUAUUACUAACACUGAGAGACGAAAGCUAGGGUAGCAAAUGGG
rnacentral:rRNA from 1 species